GAUGGUUGCAUACCUCUACAGUGAUCACAGGUCUUCUUCUUCCACUCUUGUGUAUCUCUCCAUCUUGAGAGAUGGAGGUCUUGAUGGUUGCAUACCUCUACAGUGAUGGUAAUGUCACUUUUGUUCUUUGAUUUGGUCAGCGGGUUGAAGUAGAGCUUUAAUAGUAGCUGACAUCAUCUUGCUCAGUGUGCAUGCUCACAGAACUUUCACUUGUAAAAUUAAUAAACUUUGCUCGAUGUGUUGUCCUAUUUGCAAAACCAAGGCAGAGAUCAAGUGUAUGGGCUCUGCUGGUGGAAAAAACACCAACAGAACCAAAUCUAUUUCUUUAUUUAUUUUUCUUCAUCCUUAGGCACAUUGAACAAGAUAAAGUUGGUGUUACAUAAUUUGUUUAUUUAUGGCGU
rnacentral:lncRNA from 1 species